ensembl:lncRNA
GAAAGAUUUUUAUAAAAAUGCUUGAUUUUCCUUUUAAGUCGAGAUUUAAUAUGUUAUCAGCCUUACAUGAAUUAUCAGUGAUGGCUUAAAUGUAGAGAUCAUAAGCAUUCUCUUUGAACAAAACCACUCAAAUGAAAAAUCUGCUUUUUAUACCAAAUCUUAACAACAUAAGUUGCAGCUUCAGUGGCGAGAACAUACAAUGUGGAUGUAAAUGACACCUCAGUCAUUUAGCAGAUGAUAAAGGCAGACGUCGGUGAGUUUAUGAGUAAACUGGGUUGAACAGGUUUGACUGGGCAAACCUGACUUUGUCAAAAGGGAUAUUUGCAAAUCUGAUUAUAUACAAAACACGUUCCACCCAUGUGGAAUCAACGACCAGUUUUGAUCAAGUACAGACAUACUGCAUUGUCAGCCUGAGAAGGAACUGAGACAAGGUUAUUUUUUCCCAGUACAUUUUGAAAUAAGUUCUUCUUUCUUUUCUACAGAUUUGGGAAGAAAUGGAAUGGACUACAAAUAUGGAUACUACUUUUUGUCUGAGAUGAACGGUAAUGAAGGUCAGCUCAUCUGAGGAAAUGAGAACUACAGCUUCUGAAUGACAAAGUGACAGUAUCUGUCACAGGUAGAUAGAAGUCAUGAAAACCUCUGUGUUUUAAGUGUAGCUCAUUGAAGAGCUAAGAGGCCAGAAGUGCUUCAACAACUGGACAUGGUGGACAUCCUUUAUUCUUUCUAAUCACUUGGAAAGAGGAUAAAUCCUAUAAGAGAUUCAGCUCAACAUGCCAGGCUAUACCGGAGGAGGAGCUGUCCCAUCCCAUCCAGUGCGAGACCAACCCCCAUGGUUUAAAUGGAGUCAUCGCUGUUGAUGAUAAAAUUUAUCCUCUAACCUUCCUUAGAGAUCCGGCUCCAUCUGCUGAGGACUCGCCUGGUGCAGGUGGAGGAUCGGAGCAGCUAUCUAGUGUCCAGUGUGAUUCACUCCAUCACCAGAACGAUGCAGUGUUCGAACCUCAUGCAUACCCGGCGCCUGGUGGGAGAUGGAACACCCAGAUGACUGAUGUUCCCUUCAACCUGAGGGAAAUCACUCGUAGUGUGACUGCAGCAAGGUGCAUGCAGAGUCCAUGGAGGGAGAUAGUGUUCACUGUUGGGACUGCCCUGCUCUAUGUAUGUUGCAUGUGUAAAAUCAUGUAUUAAAAAUAAUAUUUUUUACAAUUUUGAAUGUGUUUUUUGUUUUUUUUUCUUUUUUGUUUUGUUUUUUUUAGCCUUUAUUUAACCAAGUCGGUCCCGUUGAGAUACAAUGACCUCUUUUUCAAGGGAAGCCUGGCCCAGACAGCAGCCAGAGAAAUAUUAAAAGUGCAACAAUUCAAAACAGACAACACUAACUCACUUAACAAAAUGAAUAGAAUGCAUGCUAGAUUAAAGCACAGGAUUAAGAAUUUACAUUAAAACAACAGCAAGUGUGAAAAGUAGCUGCUGCAAGAUCCUUCAUACGGUUUUUAAAAAUUCCAAUAGUGAUGAGAUCCUUCAGAUUCAGUGUCUUCUGCAGUGAGUUCCAGGCAGCAGGUGCAGAAUACUUAAAACGGUGUUUCCCUAAUUCAGAAUGUACCUUUGGCAAGUUUAACAAGUAUAAGUCAUUGGAACGUAAGCAGUAAUUGCUGUGGAUGCUGAAAAUGUAGUCACAUAAGUAACGUGGAAGUAGACCUAGGAUUGCUUGCAAUUGCAGCGAAUUUCGCUGGAUUUUGGUUGAUUUUUAUGUGAAUGUUCUUAAAGAAAUCAUUAGAAGUCUUACUGAUAUAUAUGGAAUCAGUUUAGAUAUUUUUAGGAGUUUUUUG